UACGGAGGGUGCAAGCGUUAUCCGGAUUCACUGGGUUUAAAGGGUGUGUAGGUGGCGCGCUAAGUCGGGUGUGAAAUUUCGGAGCUUAACUCCGAAACUGCAUUCGAUACUGGCGUGCUUGAGGACUGGAGAGGAGACUGGAAUUCAUGGUGUAGCAGUGAAAUGCGUAGAGAUCAUGAGGAAGACCAGUGGCGAAGGCGGGUCUCUGGACAGUUCCUGACACUGAGACACGAAGGCCAGGGGAGCAAAACGGGG
rnacentral:rRNA from 1 species